AUGAACGCUAGCGACAGGCCUAACACAUGCAAGUCAGGGGCAGCACAAGGAGCAAUCUGAGGUGGCGACCGGCGCACGGGUGAGUAACACGUAUGCAACCUGCCUGUAAGCGGGGAAUAACCCGUUGAAAGACGGACUAAUACCGCAUAAUACUAAAUUACUGCAUGGUAAUUUAUUUUAAACAUUUAUGGCUUACAGAUGGGCAUGCGCAUGAUUAGCUAGUUGGAGAGGUAACGGCUCCCCAAGGCAACGAUCAUUAGGGGUUCUGAGAGGAAGGUCCCCCCACACUGGUACUGAGACACGGACCAGACUCCUACGGGAGGCAGCAGUGAGGAAUAUUGGUCAAUGGACGAGAGUCUGAACCAGCCAAGUCGCGUGCAGGAAGAAUGUCCCUAUGGAUUGUAAACUGCUUUUGCAGGGGAAUAAAGUGCAUCACGUGUGAUGUUUUGUAUGUACUCUGCGAAUAAGGAUCGGCUAACUCCGUGCCAGCCGCCGC
rnacentral:rRNA from 1 species